GUGCUCGCUUCGGCAGCACAUAUACUAAAAUUGGAACGAUACAGAGAAGAUCAAAACAGAACUUUUUUUAAAAAAAAAAAAAUUCCUGAUUAGU